rnacentral:rRNA from 1 species
AACGAACGCUGGCGGCAUGCCUAACACAUGCAAGUCGAACGAGACCUUCGGGUCUAGGUGCGCACGGGGGGUUACGGCCGGGUAACUUGCCCUUAGGUUCGGUAUAACUCCCCGAGAGGUGUGCUAAUACCGGAGGAGGUCUUCGGACCAACGAUUUAUCGCUGUUGGGUGGGGCCGCGUUGGAUUAGCGGGUUGGUAGGGGAAAAGCAUACCAAGGAGACGAUCCAGGGCUGGUCUGAGAGGAUGAUCUGCCAGGAUGGGAAUGAGACACGGACCACAAUCGUACGGGAGGGAGGAGUGGGGAAUAUUGGAGACUGGGCGCAAGCCUGACAACGCCAUGCCGGGUGAGUGAUGAAGGCGGUAGGAUUGUAAAGCCCUCUUAGCCGGGAUGAUAAUGACGGUAACGGGAGAAUAAGCACCGGCUAACUACGUG